CUCUUUUUCUCUUUUAUAAUAAGCCGCAAGUCAUCAUCAUGUAGCUGAAACAAUAAGCUUCAAAAUUCUCUUAAAUCGAUAACCAGGCUUUCAGAAAAGGCGCAAAGAGGGGAUGAUAAAGAAAGGCUGUUGUAUUCUGUAAACUCGUUCGUUAAAUAAUGAAAUAAUAUUGAAUGCGUCUGUGACGGAAUACAAAUAUUAUAGGUGGAUGCUAAGCCUAUAGCGUUUUUGGUUUGAACAUCUGCGUUAUUUGAGGGCUGCAGCAAAUCUCAUGAAUGUUUAAGAAUGAGGAUAUGUAGUCUUUGAAAAUGAGCAUAUUCUGCUUGAAAUGUUUGUGAAAUUGAAACAAGUUCCAGUAUUUAAACA